GUACGUGAAGUUGGGAGCUGCUCAAUGACGUGAGAGGAAUUUUGGUGCAACACGCUGUUAAAAAGAGCAUCAUUUUCGUGAUGUUUGCGAAUAAUUAUACACGUUUGGUUUCCCUUUGGAAAACGGAGCGAGUUUUACGGUGGAUGUUGGUGCACAGUGCUGCAAAAGAAUAGCCAACGUCGAAGUUCAACAACUGCAGUUAAGAAGACACCUCUGAAAACUCUAGCCUCGUGCUACCAAAACAAGCGGUUGCCAACACCUACAACUACAAAAGAUGUGCAAUAGCCAACGUCGAAGUUCAACGGCAGCAGCUAAUACAGAAGACACAUGUGGUACCAGGU